UACAGAGGGUGCGAGCGUUGUUCGGAAUUAUUGGGCGUAAAGCGCGAGUAGGCGGGAUGGCAAGUCGGGUGUGAAAGCCCUCAGCUCAACUGAGGAAGUGCGCCCGAAACUACCGUUCUUGAGUGCCGGAGAGGGUGGCGGAAUUCCCGGUGUAGAGGUGAAAUUCGUAGAUAUCUGGAGGAACACCGGUGGCGAAGGCGGCAUCCUGGACCGACACUGACGCUGAGGCGCGAAAGCCAGGGGAGCAAACGGG
rnacentral:rRNA from 1 species